CCUGUUUUUCCAUCAGAAAAUGUUGUGUCUCACUGUGUUCAUCGCUCACAUACUUGGACAAGGAGACCAAAUCCUGAUCUGGAUAAUCCUCCCAAGGAGGAAGAGAAAGGUUUCGGACGUGGUGCUUCUCCCACAAUUGGGAGCCCACUCAAGUCACCUGCUCUGUCCUCGGAUGGAUCACUUCUGCCAUCCUCCUCCCCGGAGUCCCCUCCAGAGCCAAACCACUGGCUGGAACAACUGCUAUCAGCCCCUGAGCCCCCCAGCCCUGUGCCAGAGGUGGCCUGACCUGUUGGGAACCAUCUCAACAUGUCUGUGGCCCCAGACAGCCCACCAAAGGAAAGCUUAGGGGGCCAGAGACUGAUAGAUAGGGGCCCCUCUCCCUCUCGGCCCCAAAGCUCGGUGGUGGAGUGUUUGAUGGAAGACCCAACUCUUCCUUAGCAUGUCAUCUGUGAAGUGGGUCCCGUGGGGUCGCCUUCCGAUUCAGCAUUCUCUGUCCUGUCUCCUGAACCGGAGCAUCGUGGCCCAUGGGGUGAGGCCGAUGGGGAUCAAUCCCAUAAUGAUCUGACCCAAACCCUCACCCCACCCACAAAUGUUUUCAGGGAUGAGGUAUUGCCCAAGGCAAAAGAGGAACAGGCCAACGAUGGGGAUGAAGACAAUCAACGUCUCCUCCUGGCGGAGAUGCCCAUGGCUGCCCCACCCAACCUGGAGACAUAUGCAUGGGAACAGUGAGAAGAUCACAGCUGUCAUCACCCUCACUGGCACCCCCUCCUGUGCCCAAACCCUGGGGGGAGAAAUUGUUGGUGAUCCCUGAGCCCCCGAGCCCUGCGGUGGAGAUGCCACAGAAGGCAGCAAAGUGGGAUGCUCAGAGGGAGAUGUGUCUCUGCUGGUGGACCUGAAUGAAUUACAUCAAAAGUCUGAAUUUGUAGCCGAAGCUAGCUGGGAUGCUUGUGGAGGUGCUUCUGAGGCUUUCUCACCUUCUCCAGAAGAACCUCCUAAAUCAGAGGAUCAUGGCCUGGGGGCUCAGGCCAAUGGGGAUAUGCGCUUCCAGGACCAGCUGGCCUCGCUAGGGGCUCAAGAUGGGAGCUUCAGCAGCGGCAAGAGCAGCUCCUCCAGAAAUCACCCCAUCAGAAGAACAAGUUGGUGGAAGAUCUGGACCUUGAAGUGACGCAGGCUGCAGAGGUGGGUGCCUGUCCUGGAAUAAGGCUGCUACUAAGGAGGUGGAAACACAGGAAGAAAAACAGGUGUUCCAUCUGUUGAGAGGGUCCGAGCUGGCCCAGAGGGACUCUUAGAGAAGAUCAAGUCCAUCCCUGUUCAGUAGAAGAUCUGGCGUGAAUCCACUUUCACCCAACAGUGUCAUCCUCGUCUAAGCAGCCAUUCAGUUGUUUCUGCUUUCUCCACCCCCUUUCCUUCCCACCCCCUCCAGGGUCCUCUCCACCCCCUUUCCUUUCCAUGCCUAAAUGUGUUGGUGUGUGAUUUAGAACAAUUUACACAUCUGUAAAUGGGUAUUUACUAAGUAACACACUUCUACUAUGGAAUAACGAUCCGGGGUAACACUCACUGCCUCGUCAUGAAGAACAUUUUCUCUUGAUUUGAGGCUGGUCCUAACAUUAGGGAGAGCACAGAGCAACAGGAAAAGACAGCAAAGUUACCACCAUCCUACAUUGCUAUGGUGUUUUUACUGGCAGGUGCCUCGGGAAUAUUUUGCUUUAUGGGUCCAAAUCACCGUUGGUGCCGAAUGACCUUACCUUCACUAGGGCAACCAGACUCUGAAGUUUGGGGCUGUGCCUCAGGCAGCGAAAAGUUACAGGACACUCCCUGGUUGCGCAUGUGCCCAGACUAAAGUAUGCUACAGGGCAGUUUGAGUCUUUUCAUAUAAUCUCGUGUUGUCGAAAGAAGAUUUGGUGUUUCUCAGUUUGC